GGCAUUGAAGGCUGAAGUAAAUGCUGUGUUGCUGUUCCAGCAGAGCAAACACUGGAUGGGCUCUUCACAAACAUUGGCUCCUGGACUGGGGAUGGGGA